rnacentral:rRNA from 1 species
AUGAACGCUAGCGGCGCGCCUUAUGCAUGCAAGUCGUACGGUUCCUCGCAAGAGGGACAGUGGCGAACGGGUGAGUAAUAGUUAGGUAACCUGCCUUUAAGUGGGGGAUAACACUUCGAAAGAAGUGCUAAUACCGCAUGUGGUGCUCUUUCAUAAGAAGGAUCACUAAAACCGCAAGGUGCUUGAAGAGGGGCCUGACUCCGAUUAGCUAGUUGGUGGGGUAACGGCCUACCAAGGCUAUGAUCGGUAGCUGGUCUGAGAGGAUGGUCAGCCACACUGGGACUGAGACACGGCCCAGACUCCUACGGGAGGCAGCAGCAAGGAAUCUUGGGCAAUGGGCGAAAGCCUGACCCAGCGACGCCGCGUGAGGGAUGAAGGCCUUCGGGUUGUAAACCUCUUUUCUCAGGGAAGAAUAAUGACGGUACCUGAGGAAUAAGUCUCGGCUAACUACGU